rnacentral:rRNA from 1 species
UACGAAGGGGGCUAGCGUUGCUCGGAAUUACUGGGCGUAAAGCGCACGUAGGCGGCUUUGUAAGUCAGAGGUGAAAGCCCGGAGCUCAACUCCGGAAUUGCCUUUGAGACUGCAUCGCUUGAAUCCAGGAGAGGUGAGUGGAAUUCCGAGUGUAGAGGUGAAAUUCGUAGAUAUUCGGAAGAACACCAGUGGCGAGGGCGGCUCACUGGACUGGUAUUGACGCUGAGGUGCGAAAGCGUGGGGAGCAAACAGG